rnacentral:rRNA from 1 species
UACGUAGGGGCAAGCGUUGUCCGGAUUUAUUGGGCGUAAAGAGCGUGUAGGCGGCCAGGUAGGUGGGUUGUGAAAACUGGAGGCUCAACCUUCAGAGGUCGACCCAAACCCCUGGCUAGAGUCCGGAAGAGGAGAGUGGAAUUCCUGGUGUAGCGGUGGAAAUGCGCAGAUAUCAGGAAGAACACCCGUGGCGAAGGCGGCUCUCUGGGACGGUACUGACGCUGAGACGCGAAAGCGUGGGGAGCGAACAGG